GACAGAGGCCUCAAGCGUUAUUCGGAAUCACUGGGCUUAAAGCGUGUGUAGGCGGAUCGUUAAGUACGUUGUGAAAUCCCACGGCUCACCCGUGGAACUGCUGGGUAUACUGGCGAUCUUGAGCCAACUAGGGGCAACUGGAACAAGCGGUGGAGCGGUGAAAUGCGUAGAUAUCGCUUGGAACGCCAACGGUGAAAGCAGGUUGCUGGGGUUGUGCCGACGCUGAGACACGAAAGCCAGGGGAGCAAACGGG
rnacentral:rRNA from 1 species